rnacentral:rRNA from 1 species
CUACGGGGCGCAGCAGUGAGGAAUAUUGCACAAUGGGGGGAACCCUGAUGCAGCAACGCCGCGUGGAGGAUGACGCAUUUCGGUGUGUAAACUCCUUUUAUAUGUCAAGAAAAUGACGGUAGCAUAUGAAUAAGCACCGGCUAACUCCGUGCCAGCAGCCGCGGUAAUACGGAGGGUGCAAGCGUUACUCGGAAUCACUGGGCGUAAAGGACGCGUAGGCGGGUUGGAAAGUCAGGUGUGAAAUCCUACAGCUUAACUGUAGAACUGCACUUGAAACUGCUAAUCUAGAGUAUGGGAGGGUGAGAUGGAAUUAGUGGUGUAGGGGUAAAAUCCGUAGAUAUCACUAGGAAUACCUAAAGCGAAGGCGAUCUCCUGGAACAUUACUGACGCUAAGGCGUGAAGGCGUGGGGAGCAAACAGGAUUAGAUACCCUUGUAGUC